GAUGAAGAACGUAGCGAAAUGCGAUAAGUAAUGUGAAUUGCAGAAUUCAGUGAAUCAUCGAAUCUUUGAACGCACAUUGCGCCCAUUAGCAUUCUAGUGGGCAUGCCUGUUCGAGCGUCAUUUCAACCCUUAAGCCCUGUUGCUUAGCGUUGGGAGCCUACAGUACUGUAGCUCCCCAAAGUUAGUGGCGGAGUCGGUUUCACACUCUAGACGUAGUAAAUUUUUCUCGUCUGUAGUUGAGCCGGUCCCCUGCCGUAAAACAUCCACUUUAUCAAGGUUGACCUCGGAUCAGGUAGGAAUACCCGCUGAACUUAAGCAUAUCAAUAAGCGGAGGA
rnacentral:misc_RNA from 1 species